CGUUACUCGGAAUUACUGGGCGUAAAGAGCGUGUAGGCGGGUAAAUAAGUUGGAAGUGAAAUCCUAUGGCUCAACCAUAGAACUGCUUCCAAAACUGUUAACCUAGAAUGUGGGAGAGGUAGAUGGAAUUUCUGGUGUAGGGGUAAAAUCCGUAGAUAUCAGAAGGAAUACCGAUUGCGAAGGCGAUCUACUGGAACACAAUUGACGCUGAGACGCGAAAGCGUGGGGAGCAAACAGGAUUAGAUACCCUGGUAGCCCACGCCCUAAACGAUGUACACUAGUUGUUGUGAGGCUAGACCUUGCAGUAAUGCAGUUAACACAUUAAGUGUACCGCCUGGGGAGUACGGUCGCAAGAUUAAAACUCAAAGGAAUAGACGGGGACCCGCACAAGCGGGGGAGCAUGUGGUUUAAUUCGACGAUACUCGAAGAACCUUACCUGGUCUUGACAUAGAAAUAACUUUCCAGAUAUGGAUUGGUGCCUGCUUGCAGUAUCUUUCAUACCGGUGCUGCACG
rnacentral:rRNA from 1 species